rnacentral:rRNA from 1 species
AGCGAACGCUGGCGGCAGGCCUAACACAUGCAAGUCGAACGCCCCUUCGGGGGAGUGGCGGACGGGUGAGUAACGCGUGGGAAUGUGCCCUUUGGUACGGAACAACUGAGGGAAACUUCAGCUAAUACCGUAUGUGCCCUACGGGGGAAAGAUUUAUCGCCAUUGGAGCAGCCCGCGUUGGAUUAGGUAGUUGGUGGGGUAAUGGCCCACCAAGCCGACGAUCCAUAGCUGGUCUGAGAGGAUGAUCAGCCACACUGGGACUGAGACACGGCCCAGACUCCUACGGGAGGCAGCAGUGGGGAAUCUUGCGCAAUGGGCGAAAGCCUGACGCAGCCAUGCCGCGUGAAUGAUGAAGGUCUUAGGAUUGUAAAAUUCUUUCACCGGGGAAGAUAAUGACGGUACCCGGAGAAGAAGCCCCGGCUAACUUCGUA